rnacentral:rRNA from 1 species
AUUGAACGCUGGCGGCAUGCCUUACACAUGCAAGUCGAACGGCAGCACGGACUUCGGUCUGGUGGCGAGUGGCGAACGGGUGAGUAAUGUAUCGGAACGUACCUUUCAGUGGGGGAUAACGUAGCGAAAGUUACGCUAAUACCGCAUAUUCUGUGAGCAGGAAAGCAGGGGAUCGCAAGACCUUGCGCUGAUUGAGCGGCCGAUAUCAGAUUAGCUAGUUGGUGAGGUAAAGGCUCACCAAGGCGACGAUCUGUAGCGGGUCUGAGAGGAUGAUCCGCCACACUGGAACUGAGACACGGUCCAGACUCCUACGGGAGGCAGCAGUGGGGAAUUUUGGACAAUGGGGGGCAACCCUGAUCCAGCCAUGCCGCGUGAGUGAAGAAGGCCUCGG